GAUGAACGCUGGCGGCGUGCUUAACACAUGCAAGUCGAACGAUGAAGCCCAGCCUGCUGGGCGGAUUAGUGGCGAACGGGUGAGUAACACGUGAGUAACCUGCCCUUGACUCUGGGAUAAGCCCGGGAAACUGGGUCUAAUACCGGAUAGGAGCGCCUGUCGCAUGACGGGUGCUGGAAAGAUUUUUCGGUCAUGGAUGGACUCGCGGCCUAUCAGCUUGUUGGUGAGGUAACGGCUCACCAAGGCGACGACGGGUAGCCGGCCUGAGAGGGUGACCGGCCACACUGGGACUGAGACACGGCCCAGACUCCUACGGGAGGCAGCAGUGGGGAAUAUUGCACAAUGGGCGGAAGCCUGAUGCAGCGACGCCGCGUGAGGGAUGACGGCCUUCGGGUUGUAAACCUCUUUCAGUAGGGAAGAAGCGAAA
rnacentral:rRNA from 1 species